CAAUAGCGUAUAUUAAAGUUGUUGCAGUUAAAAAGCUCGUAGUUGGAUUUCUGGCAGGAGCGGCCGGUCACACACUCUGUGUGUGAACUUGCGCUGUCUCUGGCCAUCCUUGGGGAGAUCCUGUUUGGCAUUGAGUUGUCGGGCAGGGGAUACCCAUCGUUUACUGUGAAAAAAUUAGAGUGUUUAAAGCAGGCUUAUGCCGUUGAAUAUAUUAGCAUGGAAUAAUAAGAUAGGACUUCGGAACUAUUUUGUUGGUUUGCGUUACGAAGUAAUGAUUAAUAGGGACAGUUGGGGGUAUUCGUAUUUCGUUGUCAGAGGUGAAAUUCUUGGAUUUCCGAAAGACGAACUACUGCGAAANCANNNACCAAGGAUGUUUNCAUNAA
rnacentral:rRNA from 1 species